ACGUACACUCCUGCGGGAGGCAGCAGUGAGGAAUAUUGGACAAUGGGUGGAAGCCUGAUCCAGCCAUCCCGCGUGCAGGAAGACGGCCCUAUGGGUUGUAAACUGCUUUUAUCUGGGGAUAAACCUACUUACGUGUAAGUAGCUGAAGGUACCAGAAGAAUAAGCACCGGCUAACUCCGUGCCAGCAGCCGCGGUAAUACGGAGGGUGCAAGCGUUAUCCGGAUUUAUUGGGUUUAAAGGGUCCGUAGGCGGACUGAUAAGUCAGUGGUGAAAUCCGACAGCUUAACUGUCGAACUGCCAUUGAUACUGUUAGUCUUGAGUAAGGUUGAAGUGGCUGGAAUAAGUAGUGUAGCGGUGAAAUGCAUAGAUAUUACUUAGAACACCAAUUGCGAAGGCAGGUCACUAAGUCUUAACUGACGCUGAUGGACGAAAGCGUGGGGAGCGAACAGGAUUAGAAACCCGGGUAGUCCCAUGAU
rnacentral:rRNA from 1 species